rnacentral:rRNA from 1 species
GGAUGAACGCUGGCGGCGUGCCUAAUACAUGCAAGUCGAGCGAACAGACGAGGAGCUUGCUCCUCUGACGUUAGCGGCGGCCGGGUGAGUAACACGUGGAUAACCUACCUAUAUGACUGGGAUAACUUCGGGAAACCGGAGCUAAUACCGUAUAAUAUAUUGAACCGCAUGGUUCAAUAGUGAAAGACGGUUUUGCUGUCACUUAUAGAUGGAUCCGCGCCGCAUUAGCUAGUUGGUAAGGUAACGGCUUACCAAGGCAACGAUGCGUAGCCGACCUGAGAGGGUGAUCGGCCACACUGGAACUGAGACACGGUCCAGACUCCUACGGGAGGCAGCAGUAGGGAAUCUUCCGCAAUGGGCGAAAGCCUGACGGAGCAACGCCGCGUGAGUGAUGAAGGUCUUCGGAUCGUAAAACUCUGUUAUUAGGGAAGAACAAAUGUGUAAGUAACUAUGCACGUCUUGACGGUACCUAAUCAGAAAGCCACGGCUAACUACGUG